UACCUGAAGAAAAAGCAUCGGCUAACUCCGUGCCAGCAGCCGCGGUAAUACGGAGGAUGCAAGCGUUAUCCGGAAUCAUUGGGCGUAAAGGGUCCGCAGGUGGCGAAUAAAGUCUGCUGUUAAAGACCGGGGCUAAACUCCGGAAAGGCAGUGGAAACUGAUUAGCUAGAGUACGGUAGGGGUAGAGGGAAUUCCCAGUGUAGCGGUGAAAUGCGUAGAUAUUGGGAAGAACACCGGUGGCGAAAGCGCUCUACUAGGCCGAAACUGACACUGAGGGACGAAAGCUAGGGUAGCGAAAGGGAUUAGAUACCCCUGUAGUCUUAGCGGUAAACGAUGGAUACUAGGUGUAGCUUGUAUCGACCCGAGCUGUGCCGAAGCUAACGCGAUAAGUAUCCCGCCUGGGGAGUACGCACGCAAGUGUGAAACUCAAAGGAAUUGACGGGGGCCCGCACAAGCGGUGGAGUAUGUGGUUUAAUUCGAUGCAACGCGAAGAACCUUACCAGGGCUUGACAUGUCGCGAAUCUAGCGGAAACGUUAGAGUGCCUUAGGGAAUGCGAACACAGGUGGUGCAUGGCUGUCGUCAGCUCGUGUCGUGAGAUGUUGGGUUAAGUCCCGCAACGAGCGCAACCCUCGUCCUUAGUUGCCAAUAUUAAGUUAGGCACUCUAGGGAGACUGCCGGGGACAACUCGGAGGAAGGUGGGGAUGACGUCAAGUCAGCAUGCCCCUUACGUCCUGGGCGACACACGUACUACAAUGGUUGGGACAAAGGGCAGCAAACUCGCGAGAGUAAGCGAAUCUCAUCAAACCCAGCCACAGUUCAGAUUGCAGGCUGCAACUCGCCUGCAUGAAGUAGGAAUCGCUAGUAAUCGCAGGUCAGCAUACUGCGGUGAAUUCGUUCCCGGGCCUUGUACACACCGCCCGUCACACCAUGGAAGCUGGCUACGCCCGAAGUCGUUACCCUAACCCGGUUUUGGGAGGGGGAUGCCGAAGGUAGAGCUAGUGACUGGGGUGAAGUCGUAACAAGGUAGCCGUACCGGAAGGUGUGGCUGGAUCACCUCCUUUACAGGGAGACCUAGUCUAAUUACCAAUAGAUAAAAAAGUUGGUAAUUCGCAAGAAUCCUUAGGUCGUGAGGGGAGCAAGAAAAAACUUUCAAACUGUAAUGGGUGAGGGUCAAUGGGCUAUUAGCUCAGGUGGUUAGAGCGCACCCCUGAUAAGGGUGAGGUCCCUGGUUCAAGUCCGGGAUGGUCCACCUAAAAUACACAGGCAUCCUGCCUGUGCCACAAAAAAAGGAAAAAGUUUUGGCAUUGUCUCUUGUAAUCAAGAGCAAGAGAUAAUGCUGGAAUAGAUUCCAGCAAG
rnacentral:misc_RNA from 1 species